UGAAACUGCGAAUGGCUCAUUAAAUCAGUUAUCGUUUAUUUGAUAGUACCUUACUACAAUGGGAUAACCGUGGUAAUUCUAGAGCUAAUACAUGCUAAAAACCCCGACUUCGGAAGGGGGUGUAUUUUAUUUAGAUAAAAAACCAAUGCCCUUCGGGGCUCCUUGGUGGAAUCAUAAUAACUUAAACGAAUUCGCAUGGCCUUGCGCCGGCGAUGGUUCAUUCAAAUUUCUGCCCUAUCAACUUUCGAUGGUAGGAUAGUGGCCUACCAUGGUAUCAACGGGUAACGGGGAAUUAGGGUUCGAUUCCGGAGAGGGAGCCUGAGAAACGGCUACCACAUCCAAGGAAGGCAGCAGGCGCGCAAAUUACCCAAUCCCGACACGGGGAGGUAGUGACAAUAAAUACUGAUACAGGGCUCUUAUGGGUCUUGUAAUUGGAAUGAGUACAAUUUAAAUCCCUUAACGAGGAACAAUUGGAGGGCAAGUCUGGUGCCAGCAGCCGCGGUAAUUCCAGCUCCAAUAGCGUAUAUUAAAGUUGUUGCAGUUAAAAAGCUCGUAGUUGAACCUUGGGCCUGGCUGGCCGGUCCGCCUCACCGCGUGUACUGGUCCGGCCGGGCCUUUCCUUCUGGGGAUCCGCAUGCCCUUCACUGGGCGUGUCGGGGAACCAGGACUUUUACUUUGAAAAAAUUAGAGUGUUCAAAGCAGGCCUUUGCUCGAAUACAUUAGCAUGGAAUAAUAGAAUAGGACGUGCGGUUCUAUUUUGUUGGUUUCUAGGACCGCCGUAAUGAUUAAUAGGGAUAGUCGGGGACAUCAGUAUUCAAUUUGUCAGAGGUGAAAUUCUUUGGAUUUAUUGAAGACUAACUAACUGCCGAAAGCAUUUUGUCAAGGAUGUUUUCAUUAAUCAGUGAACGAAAGUUAGGGGAUCGAAGACGAUCAGAUACCGUCGUAGUCUUAACCAUAAACUAUGCCGACUAGGGAUCGGGCGAUGUUACUAUUUUGACUCGCUCGGCACCUUACGAGAAAUC
rnacentral:rRNA from 1 species